UACGUAGGUGACCAGCGUUGUCCGGAUUUACUGGGCGUAAAGAGCGCGCAGGCGGUCGUUCAAGUCGAGUGCGAAAGCCCCCGGCUCAACUGGGGAGGGUCAUUCGAUACUGAUCGACUCGAAGGCAGGAGAGGGAAGCGGAAUUCCCGGUGUAGUGGUGAAAUGCGUAGAUAUCGGGAGGAACACCAGUGGCGAAGGCGGCUUCCUGGCCUGUUCUUGACGCUGAGGCGCGAAAGCUAGGGGAGCAAACGGG
rnacentral:rRNA from 1 species